AAAAAACUCAAAAGAGAGGCAAAAGAAAACACAGCUACUCUUAAAGAAAAAAAAGACAAGAAAACACAAACAUCUUUAUUGGAAACACCUGAAAUUUAUUGGAAAUUGGAUUCUAAAGCAGUUCCUUCACAAACUGUAUCUCGAAAUUUCACAUCAGUUGAUCAUGGCAUAUCCAAAGAUAAAAGAGACUAUCUGUGGACAUCUGCCAAAAAUACUUUAUCUACACCAUUGCCAAAGAGCAUGGUUUCAGAAGAAGAGACGUUGAAAACACUGUAUAGGAACAAUAAUCCACCAGCUUCUCAUCUUUGUGUCAAAACACCAAAAAAGGCCCCUUCAUCUCUAACAACCCCUGGAUCUACACUGAAGUUUGGAGCUAUAAGAAAAAUGCGGGAGGACCGUUGGGCUGUAAUUGCUAAAAUGGAUAGGAAAAAAAAACUAAAAGAAGCUGAAAAGUUAUUUGUUUAAUUUCAGAGAAUCAGUGUAGUCAAGGAGCCUAAUAACAUGAAACUUAUAGUUAAUAUUUUGUUCUUAUUUGCCAGAGCCAAAUUUUAUCUGGAAGUUGAGACUUAAAAAAUACGUGCAUCAGUGAUUUGUGUUUCUUUAUAUUUUUAGCCUAAAUGUUAACUACAUAUUGUCUGGAAACCUGUCAUUGUAUUCAGAUAAUUAGAUGAUUAUAUAUUGUUGUUACUUUUUCUUGUAUUCAUGAAAACUGUUUUUACUAAGUUUUCAAAUUUGUAAAGUUAGCCUUUGAAUGCUAGGAAUGCAUUAUUGAGGGUCAUUCUUUAUUCUUUACUAUUAAA
rnacentral:sRNA from 1 species